AGGGAUUGCCUUAGUAACUGCGAGUGAAGCGGCAAAAGCUCAAAUUUGAAAUCUGGGGCCUCACAGCCUCCGAAUUGUAAUUUCGCGAUGCGUCUUUGACGGAUGGCUCUACUUUAAGUUCCUUGGAACAGGACGUCACAGAGGGUGAGAAUCCCGUGAUAGGUAGGGCCCGAAGCAUAUAAUACGUAUUCUACGAGUCGAGUUGUUUGGGAAUGCAGCUCAAAAUGGGUGGUAAAUUUCAUCUAAAGCUAAAUAUUGGCGAGAGACCGAUAGCGCACAAGUAGAGUGAUCGAAAGAUGAAAAGCACUUUGAAAAGAGAGUUAAAAAGUACGUGAAAUUGUUGAAAGGGAAGCGCUUGAGACCAGACUCCAUCUGUGGUGAUCAGCGGUGCUUUUGUGCCGUGCACUUGCCACUUAUGGGGCCAGCAUCGGUUCUGGCGGUGGGAUAAAGUCCCGGGGAAUGUAGCUGCCUUUAGGCAGUGUUAUAGCCCCGGGAGUAAUGCCACCAGCUGGGACCGAGGACCGCGCUUCGGCUAGGAUGCUGGCGUAAUGGUCUUCAGCGACCCGUCUUGAAACACGGACCAAGGAGUCUAACAUCUAUGCGAGUGUUCGGGUGAAAAACCCUUGCGCGUAAUGAAAGUGAACGGAGGUGGGAACCUUAGGGUGCACCAUCGACCGAUCCUGAUGUCUUCGGAAGGAUUUGAGUAUGAGCAUAGCUGUUGGGACCCGAAAGAUGGUGAACUAUGCCUGAAUAGGGUGAAGCCAGAGGAAACUCUGGUGGAGGCUCGCAGCGGUUCUGACGUGCAAAUCGAUCGUCAAAUUUGGGUAUAGGGGC
rnacentral:rRNA from 1 species